ensembl:miRNA
ACAUACUUCUUUAUGCGUCCAUAUGAACAAGAGGAACUAUGGAAUGUAAAGAAGUAUGUAU